GUGGGGAAUAUUGCACAAUGGGCGCAAGCCUGAUGCAGCAACGCCGCGUGAGGGAUGACGGCCUUCGGGUUGUAAACCUCUUUUAGUAGGGAAGAAGCGUAAGUGACGGUACCUGCAGAAAAAGCACCGGCUAACUACGUGCCAGCAGCCGCGGUAAUACGUAGGGUGCAAGCGUUGUCCGGAAUUAUUGGGCGUAAAGAGCUCGUAGGCGGCUUGUCGCGUCUGCUGUGAAAACCCGAGGCUCAACCUCGGGCUUGCAGUGGGUACGGGCAGGCUAGAGUGCGGUAGGGGAGAUUGGAAUUCCUGGUGUAGCGGUGGAAUGCGCAGAUAUCAGGAGGAACACCGAUGGCGAAGGCAGAUCUCUGGGCCGUAACUGACGCUGAGGAGCGAAAGCAUGGGGAGCGAACAGGAUUAGAAACCCCUGUAGUCC
rnacentral:rRNA from 1 species